GCAGUGAGACUGGAGUUACUUCGACUCGUAAUCGACAGGUUGCCGGUUCAAUUCCGGCCAUCGGCG
rnacentral:tRNA from 1 species